rnacentral:rRNA from 1 species
GCUUACACAUGCAAGUCGAACGAUGAACCUCACUUGUGGGGGGAUUAGUGGCGAACGGGUGAGUAACACGUGAGUAACCUGCCCUUAACUCUGGGAUAAGCCUGGGAAACUGGGUCUAAUACCGGAUAUGACUCCUCAUCGCAUGGUGGGGGGUGGAAAGCUUUAUUGUGGUUUUGGAUGGACUCGCGGCCUAUCAGCUUGUUGGUGAGGUAAUGGCUCACCAAGGCGACGACGGGUAGCCGGCCUGAGAGGGUGACCGGCCACACUGGGACUGAGACACGGCCCAGACUCCUACGGGAGGCAGCAGUGGGGAAUAUUGCACAAUGGGCGCAAGCCUGAUGCAGCGACGCCGCGUGAGGGAUGACGGCCUUCGGGUUGUAAACCUCUUUCAGUAGGGAAGAAGCGAAAGUGACGGUACCUGCAGAAGAAGCGCCGGCUAACUACGUGCCAGCAGCCGCGGUAAUACGUAGGGCGCAAGCGUUAUCCGGAAUUAUUGGGCGUAAAGAGCUCGUAGGCGGUUUGUCGCGUCUGCCGUGAAAGUCCGGGGCUCAACUCCGGAUCUGCGGUGGGUACGGGCAGACUAGAGUGAUGUAGGGGAGACUGGAAUUCCUGGUGUAGCGGUGAAAUGCGCAGAUAUCAGGAGGAACACCGAUGGCGAAGGCAGGUCUCUGGGCAUUAACUGACGCUGAGGAGCGAAAGCAUGGGGAGCGAACAGGAUUAGAUACCCUGGUAGUCCAUGCCGUAAACGUUGGGCACUAGGU